CAGUUGUCUUGAAAAGGUACUUCGCAGGUUCUUGAUGACUAAUACGUUGUUGCAGAUCUCUUCAUACACGGUCCAACACACACACGCACGCGCGCACACUUGUUACAGGCUCGUGGCACAAGUUGUAGAUGCUUGCAGCAAGCAAAAGCAGGAAGAAAUGUAGCAAAGACAGCAGCUCACUCUACACCCCGGUGUCGUCGGUGGUGUGAUGAGGAUGAGGAGAGCUAGGAGCAGCGUUGGGACGUGUGCUUUGUCAAAGCUGUUGAGUAGGCACAAACUUCUGGUUUCAGAUCAGUUGUCUUCUCACAAUAGGUUGGGGCGUAGGAUUGCUUCUCUUCGGCUUUUGUAGACUGGCCUGAUGUUGGUCUUUGGUCAAGUCAGGAUUUGGUUACACUUUGUUGUUUUCAACCCUUGAAAUGAUCAUGGAGCCAACAUAUCUUGGGAGUCU